AGGCGUCAUUUCUGCGGAUGGCUUAACCUAUGUAGAUGACACUUCAUUUUGCAGCCAAAUGGUCACCUUUUCACCAAGAUCGGGGUACAUUGAGACGGCAUCUAGUAAGAAUCUCUGUCAAUCUCUUUUACCUAAUUUAAAAUGACUGUGGCAGGGAAACGGUAUUCAAGCUUCUCACAGAGAGUGGCUAAUCAUAACUGAAGUAUCAAAACAGCAGUAGUUGUUUGCACGUGAUUGGAAAUAUGGAAUAAUGUUGAAUUCAGAGUUAGUUGGCGCGAUGAAAAUCAGUCCAAAUGAACUGCUUUGUAAAGGAUGUCAUUCUUUACGAAGAUACGGCAACUAAACGCAAAGGUCUUAAAAGUAAAUAUGAUGAAAAAAAAAAAGUUUUGAUGUUGUAUUACAUAAUCUAUUAGACAGCUUUACUGCUAUUAUUAUUUUCAUAUAAAAUGAUUCUUUGUAUAAUGUGGGAAAUAAUAAAAAAUAAUUCCACAGGAUAAUUUUUUUUUAAAUGUGCAACUGCAUAUUUUCAACUGAUAAAAAAACCGAAUUAAGUAUUUCAAAUGUAGCGAAAAAUGACCUUUUCUCUGAGAGGAUUGAAUGGAUGAAUUUAAACAUAUUGAAUAUGUAAAAACAAUUACGUAAUGCCUCCCCCCUCCGAAACGAAUAUAUUGUAGUAUAAUUUUAAGUUGCUUGGAAAGUAGAUUAAUUUUCAAUUUUUUUAAAAUGUAUGAUGACAACAACAAUUUCUAACUUUUAAAAGAAUUCUUCAUAAAAAGUAUUAUUUUUUUAUUAAUUCCAUGAAAUACAAAUUUUAACAGUAGCAUCAUGUUUACCUCGUAUUUUAUUAAUGCACUACUAAUUGUUAAAAAUAUUAAAAGAGCAUUUUGCAUGAUAUAUGCGAAUACAUUAUUUGGAUUAUAUCGCUGCAUAAAAAAAAGUUUUGUAUGAAUUUAUUGCUACAUUAAACUGGAAUAAAAUCCGUUGUGCAAAGUGAAUACAAGAUUUUGACAUAUCUUCGAUAGUUGAGCACCGCCAAUUUUGCAACAGAACCAGUAAGCAAACAGCGUCUAAACUCCUUUUGCAUAGAAAUGUGUGUGUUUUUUUAUAGAAUUGUGAAUAUUAAAAAAAAAAAAUCUUGUUCUUUCCCUUUCACCAACGCUAUUUAGUUAAAAAUUUAAUUUAAAUUCCUCGAUUGCGUUUAUGGACGUUUUGCCAUUUAUUAGAGAAUAAUAAAAAUACAUUGCGUGUAGAAUUACGGAAUGAAAAAGUGUUACAUUCAGUAUUUUAAUGAUUACAUGUUAAUAUUCUGUUCAAAUAUAGAAUGUAUAUCGCAAUUGUGCAAUGGAUACAGACAUUGUAAUAAAUGCAAACACAUUGCAGAAUGUUAAUAAUUUCACUUUAAACCUAUUUGAAAAUCCAUUUUCUUGCAUAUUGAUUUGUAAAAUGAAUGGUUUUCUGGUUACUUUGCAGGUAUUUCUCUUGGUAAGUGAUUUCCUUUAUCUAUGUAUUUAGGAUAGCUAAAAAAAAUCCCAAAGAAUCUAUCCCCACCCUUCCCAGCCUCAACUAUAUUUUCACUCAUUUUUGUUUCAAAUGAAAGCUCGUUACUAUCAGAUAAUUCAUCCCAAUUGAGAGAGAAACCUCAAAAACACUAUUUUAACGUGCAAUUAUUAAUUCAUCUAUUAAGAUGUCACUUAUUAGAAUUGGCUGGUAUGACUAAAUAUAGCGAAUAGCUGACUAUCGAAAACGACCAGUUAUAAUAUAAAAGAAAAAAAAAAAAAAUUAGACACUCUUGAGAGCCAUGCGAAGGACUCUUUAAUAAAUGAUGAUGCGAAUUUUGAAUUCGGUCCAUUCCGAGAGAUACGAACCAGAGGGAAAUGUUUCCAGACGCUUAUUGUAAUGUGGCGACGCCUCCCUCUCUCUGCUUAUCAAGAGCGCAGAUUGAUAAAAAAAGAAUGCUGAACAUACGAAUGGAAGAUGUGGCUCUAAUCAACAGAAUCGUUGUUAAUUCCAAAAAUUGUUUAUAAAUAAAUACCUAUAGCCACUGCACAGAAUAGCGAUCGGCCACAACAAAUCCUGUCGAUACUGCUACGUUCAGUGGUGGCGGGGUGGUCGGCUGUACGCAAGAAGAUAUUAAACUAUUUAUCCUAGAGCGUGGAGCCAGCUGUUGUAUCACUCAAUCGUCAAAACUUCUAACACACAAUAACUUUUUUCUAAUACACAAUAGCUUUUUUCCAGAAAUAAUUGACGCAUUUUAUAAUACUUGAUUUUCUUCUCAAUGCGCAGGUGUUCAACAUAAAAAUGUCACAUUUUGAAAAGGUGAAGGGAGAACACUCCCUCUAAUGACCAAGUCAAUUGCUCUGCAUCUAGAUGCACUUUUAAUAUUAAUUUCAAAUAAAGUCCGCAUCAAGAAGGCCAAUAAAUACCUGAUUAAAAUGGAAUAUUCUGUCGCUAUUUUAAUACUGAAGGUGGAAUCUUGCAAAUGAGUGAAGUGAAAUUUGACAAUGUGCUUCUGUACGGAGCAUUAAGUGCUCUUUCUUUUUUGGCGAUCACUUAGUUAUUAAAAUUCACAAACUGCUUUUCCCUUGAUGUCGAUUUAGCUUGUAAAAUUUUAAUUCAUAUUGUAUGAAUUAUGUCUCUUUUGAGUAAUGAGUAGAGCCAGAUCGAUCAAACUUAAUAUCUGAACAUCACCUUUGAAUCGAAUUCAUUCUUUUAUCAUAGGAUUUGCAUUCGUCUUGUAGGAGGCGGUGAAUACAAUUAUUCCUAUUUUAAUGUUGUUUUCAUGCUAUCAUCAUUGUAUCAUUAUAAGAUGGUUUCAAUGAUUUUUUAAAUAUAUAUAUAUAUGAUGAAAAAAUACAUAUUGAGGCUACAAUCCUUUUUUUUUUUAUUAUUGGAGUGUUAAGCCUUAUUAUUUUGGUACUGCAUUAGAAGCAUGUUACUGUAGUAAAAUUUUAUUUCAGAAAUUUGCGUCUGCGUUGCCUAUGAAGAACAACUGUGAUUUAGUUAAGUAACAAGCUGUAAUAGAAUUGGUUUAUAUUUUUGUGCGAUAUGCAUAUCAAAUUGAUUUUAAAGUCAUUUCGCGUCCCACGGUAGAAACAUUAAUGCUAUAUCAAAAAACAACGAUAGGCAGUGUGCAAUAGGAUAUUAGAAGAUGUGCUUAGUUACAUUUAUUUUCUGACGCUGGCUUCGUGGGAACUGACUACGUUGACUAUGCAUACUUAAGAAAACAGGAAUGAAUAUUUAUUUUUACCCGUUUCAAAUUGCCAGACACCGUUCAUCAAAGAGCUUCAUUAUUGUCCUAAUGUUCAUGCAUCUGUGAUUGUAAUUAGCGACAACUCAAGUUUUUUCUCGCGUAGUUCAUGUUCUUGGGAGUAUGCAAAGAAUUCCUCGAAAUUAAACACGUUGCAUUGUAAAUAUUCAAGUUUAUUGAGCACAGUUUUAUUUCUGGGUGUACGAAAUUAAAUUCUAUUCAAAUGUAUCCCUUACGAACCAUGAAAUGAAUCGGCUUAUCAGAAUUUUUAUUACAAUUUAUAAAUUAUUUUUACAUGUAUUUUAUUUAGGUUCAUAUUUAGAAUUACUUAAGGUAUUGGUUUACCUUGAUAUUUCUCGCAUAAUUAUGUCUUGUCUACGAACAGUAGGUAAUUCAUAAUCGUAAAAAUUGAGAAUUAGGGUUGAUUUCCCUCAUAAUCGUAAGAUUUAUAUAUAUAUAUAUAAUAUAGAUAUAUAUAUAUAUAUAUAUAUAUAUAGAUAUUUUCCCCUGGGAUUACAUUUGGUUCCCGGGAAAAAACACGCUGAUAAACAAAAUUAUAAAUUAUAUUGAAACUUAAAUGUUUAAAUUAUCUUUAAAAAAAUAGUUAUUUUUGCAGGAACGAAAAAAAAAAAGAAAUAAUAAAGAGUAAAUUAUUUAUUAUUUUCAUAUUCAAUACUCUCAAGAUCAUAGAGCUGAGAUACUAUCAGCUCUAUGCUCAAGAUGUUUAAAAUUAAAAUAUGUGCUUUAGUUCUUUUUCCCAGUUUAUCCAGAAAACUCUUGUCCAGAAUUCUAGUAACGUCGAUUGUUAAUAUAUGAUAUUUAAAUUUUGGCAGAAAGCACGAUGUUGUCCAGUUGCUUUUGAUUUUUCACGUUCACUAAAUAAAAACUCUUUUAUACAACAAUAAGCUGAAAUAAAUAUGACAAGGCUUUUUUUGCGAGGAAGACGAAUUAUUGCCCAAUUUUUCGCACUCAAGAAAGCGUUGAAAUGUUGGAAGCGAAAUCUUUAACGUUGUACAAAAAGAUUGUUCAAAAAAUAUUUUAAAAAAUCCAUUCAAACGUUUUACGUUGUUCAGCAGCAAUAGUUCUAGUUUGAACAAGAUGCAAAGUAUUUGACUGAACAGAAAAUUGAGGAUUAAAUAUUAUGAAACUAGGCAUGGCUUUGGAAACAAUUCCUCCGACAUCAGUUGAAGAUGGGACACAUUUUCUGUCGUCGAGUUGUUCAUAACAAAGCUAAGAACUGGGCUGAGUGAUGAUAAUAUAGAUUGUUUAUGUUUUCUUUUACUAUACUUUAGAAAUGAAUAAUGAAAAUAGUUUCUUUAUAUUUUGCAGACUAAUAUAUAUACAGGAGUAUACAUUUUGGAAUGAACGAAUAUCCUAAUUUUGUGCAAUUGUAAUCGAUAUCAAAAAAACUAAUUUUUAGAUUUUGUUCAAACUUUGAUGCAUUUUCGACAUGACUUACAUCCUCAUGAUUACUCGGAGGAUUAAGAAGGGAUUUAGGAAUUCAGAAAUCGUAGUCCAACAAUUCUGCCUCGAGGUUUCAAUGAAUCUUUUUUUUUGGGGGGGGGGAUAUGAAUUAUGUCUUUGAAUACGGCAACGCAAAGAGCGAGUGUGAUGAAAUUUUGAAUACGAUCUUUACACUUAAAUUAUUGAUUUAUAUACAAUUUUAUACUUAAACUAUUAAAAAGGAAAAAUCUGCUAGUUUAUUAGUCCUGGUCUUUAUGAAUAUGAUAACUCAAAUAAACAAAACAAUUAAAAUUUGAUAUGCACCAAAACGUUUGGUAUGCAUCAAAAUUUCGAUCUAACUGAAGGAAGUAAUUGCAUUCUUUUCACUGAAGGAUAAAAGGCAGAUGAUGAUGUGAAGAACAACAUUUAGCGUUAUCCUUGAAAUGAAUGAAACCAUGAGAAGAAUUUCUCAAAAAUAGGGUCCUUAUUAAGCCAGUUAAAAGUUCUUUAGAAAAUGAAGAAUUAUUUUUAUUUUUGGCAGUUUUUAUUUUCAUUAUAAGUUUAGUAUUAAAAAGCAUCUAAGAUGCCGUUGAAAUGACAUUGUUUUAUUUCGUCUUUAAUAAGAGGAGGGAAUACCUUUUUAUCAUUCUGUUUCUAUUUUAUUGUUAUGGUUAU